rnacentral:misc_RNA from 1 species
AGCAGCCGCGGUAAUUCCAGCUCCAAUAGCGUAUAUUAAAGUUGUUGCAGUUAAAAAGCUCGUAGUUGAACUUCGGGAUUUGCCCAUUGGUCAGGCUUAACUGUCUGCACUGGUGUGACGAGUUCCUACCUUCUGAGGAAUCUCCAUGUCAUUCAGUUGGUGUGGGGGGAAAUCAGGACUGUUACUUUGAAAAAUUAGAGUGUUUAAAGCAGGCAUCCGUCUGAAUACAUUAGCAUGGAAUAAUAAAAUAGGACGGUUUGGUUCUAUUUUGUUGGUUUCUAGGAUCACCGUAAUGAUUAAUAGGGAUAGUUGGGGGCAUUAGUAUUCAAUUGUCAGAGGUGAAAUUCUUGGAUUUAUUGAAGACUAACUACUGCGAAAGCAUUUGCCAAGGAUGUUUUCAUUAAUCAAGAACGAAAGUUAGGGGAUCGAAGACGAUCAGAUACCGUCGUAGUCUUAACCAUAAACUAUGCCGACUAGGGAUCGGACGAAGUUAAUUUUUAAUGACUCGUUCGGCACCUUA